GUCCGCAUCCGCCGUUAAACAAUCAACUGAAGAAGAAGAAGAAGAAGAAGAAGAAGAAGAAAGCCGACGAUAGCUAGCCUGUAGCUAGCAGCAUACUCCACGCAUUGACAUAUAUAAAAGACUCCACAUUGAAGUCAGUGGUAGAUCCUAGACCGGGUUUGGUGGCUAGCAGCAUACAAAAUGUCGCUCUCAGUUGUCCAGGCUUGCUGUAAAACGGAACCAGGGUUCAAGUGGAACAAUCCAAAUUUAAGAUGCAACUCCGCACAGAAUACAUUAGAAGAUAUGGGCUGACCUGACUCAUCAUGGAGGAUCGCCCAUCCUGAAACACACCAUGUGGCAGAGAUGCCUUGUCUGAAGAUGGGAUUGUUAAUCCUUAAGUGGCCAAGAGUAGAAACACAGAGCAUUUGUCAAAAUAUCUAAGUGCAGUAGUCCAUGGCCAUCACACGUGGCCCAAAGAAACAUGGCUGCUACAACUGACCUCCAUACCGCGAUGGCCUGAGGAUGAGCAACCGGUGGCUGCUUCUAAAGCAGGAACACAAGAACAAUAGUCAACUCCUUCACUCAUGCUCCAUGAGGGAAAAGGGUGUCUUGUGCUAAAAGCUAGCACCAUCUGCCCUUGAAUAAUUGUUUAUACUUGAAGAUGUACCUCACUCUAGUGUUUAAAUAAACUUUUCAUUGUUUAAAAAAAAA